UCUCAUCCUCUUCUCGGCUAGUCGCCUACCGGUACCGCCAAGCCCCGUUUGGGGAGACACGAGGAGAAUUCUCAUGGCGGCAACUCUGCUCUCCAAGCCUACGCUUUCCUCUAUUUUCCUCGGCCAGCAAUUAUGCAAUAGAGGAAAUUCGAAGAGUUCUCCACAGUGUGGGUGGAUUCUCUCGAAGAGGUCUCAGUCGCGUGGGUUGAGCCUCAUGGUCCCCAGGUGUGCGGUGGAUACAGCGUCGU